AUGCAAAAGAGGCUGGACAUCUUCCUGAGCAGCGCCAUGGAGCCUUAUCCCGAGCUGUGGGCCUUCUGCAAGAAGCUGCUCAUCCUCUCCCACGGUCAAGCUACAGUUGAGCGUGGAUUCUCAAUCAAUAAAGAGGAUGAGCAGCUUCUUGCAGAAGGCCCACAGCUCGGGAUAAGGCUCCAUGGCGCUGCUCAGGAAGAUGUCCAGCCUCUUUUGCAUGGGUUGAAAGGAGAGGAAGUCCUCACUCCGGCUCUCCAAGGACAGGAGACUGUCAAACUGCUGCAGUAUGACAUCCCCUACGACAAAACAAAUGAGAAAAUAGAGAAAAACAUUGAUAAAUCAUUGGGCAUUACCAGCAAAGUAGAUUGAGGAUAAAUUCAUGUGUAGCCUAUAAUUUGCCUUAUUCUUACCCAAAGAAGUAUCAGUAAGCUGUUUGUCCUGGAGAAACCUUUGAACCAGCCCUUUCAUGCGAUUCCUGCCUCUAUCUGGUUCUCUAUACAUUACUGACGGAUCCAGGCACACCAUCUGCCUAACAGUCAGAUACUUGAGGGGGCUCUUGUCCUGCACUUUCUUGAUCAUGUUACUCAGUCCCUGCAUGCACUCUCUCUUGAACUCGAGCACCCUGAGUUCUGCACCUUUGAUUCUCUAGAGAGAGAAAUUAGCCAUGAAUAUAGAACAUGUCUUCAAUGACCUGGUUCACCCUAACCAUUUGUAAAAUGAUCUUUUGAAAACAUCACACUACCUUAAGGACUGACUCUGCACCUAGACCAAUGCUGAUGUCUUGUGGGCUGAGCCAGAUGGUCUUGUCUGUGACAUCCAGUUUGGUCAGCUGCAGGGCAGUGAUAUCGUGUAGUACUUCUCUUUUUAUGAAGCGUCUGAGUAGACUCUGUCAACAGACAAACACAAAAAUGUCUGGUGCGGAACAUUAAUCACCAACAUCAAAUUAUCUUAUGAUGAUGCACAAUGUAGCCACUAUUUUUUACACAUCCUAACCACAAACCCCAUUUUGUCAUAAUGGAUCAAUUGAGCCCAAUCAGGGGUUAUAACGUUAAGUAAAUUGUUACCAUCAUCAACUCGGUCAGGUCCUUGGGGAGGAAUGGGAGCACAGGCUCAUCCGUCUGAUAUUUUUUCAGGAAGGGAUUGAAGGUCCUGGCAAUUGCUGCGUAGAACUGCAAUUUGGCCAAGACGAGUGGAUCCUUUAUGGCUGCUGCAAGUGUGUCAUAUGAUGCUGAGAAAAAGACAUACAGACAGUCAGACAUUUCAACUAUGACAAGGCCACACCACCACCAGGGUUAGGACACAGUCACAGACCUAUUCACAUUUAAGAAGGGCCUACCUGUUCCAGGGUUCGGGAGUCUCUUUGUUUUCACAGCUUCCAUGUACAGGAGAAGUGAUGGCCAGACUGCCAGGGCUCUCUCCACAACCGGAAGGUUUUCUACCCAACGAUGGGCACAGAAAGAUAGAGGGAACACACUGGACUUGGUUACGGUGAUGUAAUCCUCUCUCCUGGCAGGCGUAUUGUGAAACAAUGUGUGCAUUGCUCUCAGCAAUUUGUCCAGCUGCCAUACAGUGAACCCACACUUGAAGGAGUUGUGUAGCGUGUGUAGGCCACAGCUUCCCACACAAACGAGCUGAAGACCUAAAGGUUUCAAUGCAAACUUGAUAUUAGAAACCAAAUUAGAACUUUGAAAGUGUUUAUUCAAUGUUAAGUGCACUACAAAUAAAAUACAUUUUUAUAAUUACUAAUGGAUCAGAAACACACACCCACACACACAGUAAUAGCAUUAUAAACUCCUCACCUCCGUACUGCUCAGCUUGAUCUUUCUGGAAAAGGUCGAAGAGUUUCCAAUUCACAUUGGGCCCAUCCAUUGAAAUAGACACCAAGUUCCUGAGGUUCAGUUUGUCCAUACAUUCCUGAAAAAAGGGCUGCAUUUCAUUACUCAAAAUAAGAGGACUAGGUGAGCAUCACAUAUUGACACACACACACACACACACACACACACACACACACACACACACACACACACACACACACACACACACACACACACACACUUGAUUCGGAACGGAACAACAGCUGUUCGCUUCCACAGGGAAAAACUAAGGAACUUCAACCUACUUAGGCCUACUAAUUAACGGUAAAAAGCUAUUAAAUCUUCAACAAAAUAUGCAGAUACUGUCAUAAUCGGUUCCAGGGAGUAUAUAGGGAUUAUUAAUGUUAUUUUUGGUGGUGUUUUUUUCUGGAACGAGUAUUCGAUUAAUCGCUCGGAAAAACCAACGAGUAUCCGAAGCCUGAAAAAUGGCAUUCGGGCCAGCCCUAAUGGUAAUUAAACAUUAAAACACCUGCGGCUUAUAGUCCAGUGCGUCUUAUAUAUGUACACAUCAUUCAAUUUAGCUGCUGCGGUUUAUACUCCGGUGCGCCUUACAGUGCGGAAAAUACGGUAUUUGCUUUGGACAAAAGCGUCUGCCAAGUACAUAAACACAUAAACAAACAUUGUUAAGGAAAGUAGAGUAAAAAGGGUCAUGCUUACUUUGAGAUGUGACAGCAGGUCUUGUGCAGUGGAAUGUCCCAUAAACUGGGAGCCCAGAUAUCUGGACUGAACCUGUCCCUCGUUCCAGAAGCGGACAUGCACAUCCAGCUGUUUGUUUUUCGUAGUCUCGUUGAGACUCUCGUCGAACAUCAGAACGAACGGCGAUUUGUUGACUUGGGACACCAGUUCCUCUUUUAUAUAGACAGCUAAACCAAACUUGGCUAUGUACGCCGUUUUGUCAGGACCACAAGUAAAUGUGGUAGCGAUGUCGGAAUCUGGGAACAUGCAUUUGAACAGCUCUGAAAUACUGUCAUUACCAUUGUAAGACUGCUGUUUGGAGAUGGUAUUAAGAGUCCACAAC
ensembl:lncRNA